CCUACGGGUGGCAGCAGUGAGGAAUAUUGGUCAAUGGACGAGAGUCUGAACCAGCCAAGUAGCGUGAAGGAUGACUGCCCUAUUGGUUGUAAACUUCUUUUAUAUGGGACUAAACUGUUCCACGUGUGGGAUUUUGUAUGUCCCAUAUGAAUAAGGAUCGGCUACCUCCGUGCCAGCAGCCGCGGUAAUACGGAGGAUCCGAGCUUUAUCCGGAUUUAUUGGGUGUAAAGGGAGCGUAGGUGGAUUGUUAAGUCAGUUGUGAAAGUUUGCGGCUCAACCGUAAAAUUGCAGUUGAAACUGGCAGUCUUGAGUACAGUAGAGGUGGGCGGAAUUCGUGGUGUAGCGGUGAAAUGCUUAGAUAUCACGAAGAACUCCGAUUGCGAAGGCAGUUCACUGGACUGCAACUGACACUGAGGCUCGAAAGUGUGGGUAUCAAACAGGAUUAGAUACCCCAGUAGUC
rnacentral:rRNA from 1 species